UGUCAUAGUUUCUGUUGGUCACAACUAAAGUUGCGACCAACAAAUCAGUUGAGUCCGAUAUUUACUUCGUGAAUUUAUAUGAUUUAAGUGACUUACGGUAAUUUAAGUGGUGAAACUAAGACGUAGUUGAGUGUUGUAUGAUACUUAUCAUGGUAAUAUGUUAUAAAAUCGGCUGUAAAAGCCGUAUUGAGCAGAAAUUACGAGACAUAACCUUUCAUACAUUUCCAAAGGACUCUGCAAUUCGCCAAUUAUGAAUUCGUGCCACUGGGCGACAAAACUGGCAACCAACCAAACAUACUCGGAUAUGCUGUAGGCAUUUUAAACAAAGUUGUUAAAUCAAUAAAUUAAAAAUAUUUUAAUGUUCGUAUUCAUUAUGCAACAAAAUCUUUUACAAACAAAAUCGACAACAUAAGAAAUAUGUACCCAAAUUAAUUAUAUUCAAAGGACAAUAAAAACUUAAAUUUGGA